CACUUGGGACGAGAUUAAAUUUUGCCAUUUUUGUUGAGGGCGACUUGGGAUAAACUCCAAAAUUGCUCACUUAAACAGGAGCCCAAAAGCGUUUGGUGAUCAGAUCCUUGUCUAAAAUGUGUUUAAACAGAGGGGACAUUUGGCCUGGUGAUUGGGACUUCAGCUGAGAUGCCCACAUCCCACAUGCGAGUGCCUGGAUUCGAGUCCCAGCACCAGCUCCUGACUCCGGCUUCCUGCCAGUGCAGACCCUGGGAGACAGCAGGGGAUGGCUGAAGUGACUGGGUUCCUGCCACCCACACAGGAGACCAGGCUCUUGGCUUGGCCCAGCCCCAGCUUUUGUGGUAUUUGGGAAGUGAAUCAGCAGAAUUGUACUCUCUCUCUCUCUCAUCUCUGCUGCUAAAAAACAAACGACACCUUAUUUCAACAGUGUGACUGAGAUGCGGGUGUUUUUCCCAAAUGCUGCAUGGGCUGCACCUGGCACUUAGGGUCUACAGCUGUCCUGUCUGUCAUGGUGGUGCCAUCCCUCCUGUCUCAGCUUCCGCCUCUGUGGUGCAGUGCACAGCUUCUCAGCAGGUGGCCUGGAUCUGUCCAUGCAAAUUGGCAGGACCACUGGCGGGGUUGGGCUGAGCUCCGCCCAUUGGGGUGCCCACACUGGCAUUGCUCCCACUCAUGUGCCACUUCCUUCUCUGGCAUUUCUGAACUUUGAGGCUCUGGACUUUGAGGCUUAUUCCAAUAAUAAUAUCUCUCAGCUCUUGUGGGCCAGGCAGCUGGGUGCAGCUUGUUGGGUCUUCUUCUUGGCCCUAACCCCAGCCCACCUCCACGCAGGGGGUGCUGGUGGUCUCUUGGGGCCUCCUUCUGCAGUGCAUCUUCUGUCACCUGAGCUCCCUGAGGCUUCCCAAGUGCUCAUCUCGUGCUAUUUCGUUAUACUUUGGUGUUAGGAUAAUGUUCCCUACUGCUCUGAGAGAAGGGACCAAGCACAAAGCCAGGACUCCACAGUACAUAUCAAUGAGAACUCCCAUUAGAGCUGCUUCUUAGGGGUUUUAUUUAAAUUCUGUCUUUUUGAGUAUAUAUUUUUUUAAAUUAUUUAUUUAUUUUAAAGGGAUAUAUAUAUAUAUAUAUAUAGAGAGAGAGAGAGAGAGAGAGAGAAGAGAAAGAGAAAGAUCUUCCACCUACGUUCACUUCCCAAAUGGCCACAACAACCAGAACUGGGCCAAUCAGGAGUUAGGACCCAGGAGCACCCACGUGGGUGCAGGGGCCCAAGUAUUUGAGCAAUUCUCCACUGCUUUCCUGGGCAAAUUAGCAGAGAGCUAGAUCAGAAGUGGAGUAGCCAGGACUUAGACCAGUGCCCAUAUGAGAUGUUGGUGCCACAGGCAUCUGCUUUAUCUGCUAUGGCACAGCGCUGGCCUUGAGUAUUUUUCUUGAAAUGUGAUAUGGAACAAGUAACCAGAACAUUGAAAGCCUUGCUCUAUUUGAUUUGGUACCCAUGCAAUUGCUGGAUUUGAAUGCCAGCUUUUUCUACUAAAGACCUGUGUAGUCUUUUGUAAGCCACUUGCCCUCUCUGUGCCUGUAACCUGGGCAUAGCAGUAGCACCUACCUCCUAGGGUUGUUAUGAGGACAGAGCCCUCACAGAACAGAGCCUGGCACACUCUCCAUGUUUAGUUAUUCAGACUGCCUUUCCCUGUUUCUCGAGCCUUUAUUCAUAUGUUUGAGUUGCAUUAGAACUAAAAGAAAAGCAGAAGCUACCAGCGUGUGCAGUGUAGUGAGCCGAAUGCUCUCCUACACAUCGGCACAUCACUGAAGAUCACUGGUGACCAGGCGGGCUCUUGAUGUGACAGAAUGAGGAGUCCUCUUAAGUAUGAAGAGUUCAGGCCAGCACUGUGGUGUAGUGCGUAAAGCUGCUGCCUGCAGCACCGCCAUCCCAUAUGGAUGCCAAUUCAA
rnacentral:lncRNA from 1 species